CAGCAGCCGCGGUAAUACGGAGGGUGCAAGCGUUAAUCGGAAUUACUGGGCGUAAAGCGCACGCAGGCGGUUUGUUAAGUCAGAUGUGAAAUCCCCGGGCUCAACCUGGGAACUGCAUUUGAAACUGGCAAGCUAGAGUCUCGUAGAGGGGGGUAGAAUUCCAGGUGUAGCGGUGAAAUGCGUAGAGAUCUGGAGGAAUACCGGUGGCGAAGGCGGCCCCCUGGACGAAGACUGACGCUCAGGUGCGAAAGCGUGGGAAGCAAACAGGAUUAGAUACCCCGGUAGUCCCUGUCUCUUAUAC
rnacentral:rRNA from 1 species